CUCAGAAUAAGCUUGCCUUGCAGGUAAAAGAGCAGCUCAAACCAGGUGUGCAUCAUAGUUUGGGUGUUUUUGUGUAAUUUAUUCCAUGUUACUUGUUUGGUUUCUGUGGUUUUCUGUGGUUAGGAUCUUGCAAGUCCUCCAUCUUCCUAAUGCAUUUCUGGUCUUAAGCCAGCUGUUCUUUCUUUGACCUUCUCAAGCCUCUCUGCCCUGUAGCUCUCCCUGCAUAAAAACGCAUGAUACCACAACAUUUAAGUGGGAUGAGAUAUAUAGUGUAGCAAAGCAAAGAAACAAUACAGUUAUACUGAGUCCUAAAACAUUUGUUUAGAGAAAAGUAUAAAAGAGUGUGAGGGUGGGGUGGGGGGAGGUAAA
rnacentral:lncRNA from 1 species